ensembl:lncRNA
GAGGAAAAAGGACCUUAAUCACUGCAAUGUUCCGUGAACCUUGUGGACUCUCUUCUCCAGGAUACCUAUGGAUGGGUCCUACCUCUCUCAUGGACACUCAUUUUUUAGGGGAAGACCUGCAUGUUGACAUGAUCAAAAGAGUUCACGAGUGGUGGCCUGCGGUUACUCACUACUGUAGAAUGGAUGUUAUAGUUUCAGCCAAUCAACAUCCAGGAUCCAAACUACCUGUGUUAUAAUACCUCUUUGAGAUAAAGGUUUGCUCUUUGACCAAAGUCCAGUCAGUGAAAUCAUCUGCCACAUCUCUCCAUCUCCUCGUGGGACCUCUGCUGCUGCACUGAUCUAUACACCCCGAUCUAUACACUGGCUCUUGGAAUGCAGACAUUGAUAGUCAGAACUCUGGGUGGAAUCCCUCCCCCUAUCUACUUUGGAGCUUUACUUGACAGGACGUGUCUAAAGUUGGGUUUUAAAGUGAUGUGGAGGUCAAGGAGCAUGCAGACUCCACGACUCACACGCAUCCAGGUACCGGCAACUGAAUUCAACUGAUAAAUUGAUGGUUGGAUGGACUUUAUUAUAACAUCUUUCGAAAAACAUUCCUGGGUCUGAUCUAUGGUCUAUACGGCCUGAGCUAUCUGCUGUGGGGGAUGCUGUACCGGCAGCUGUCCAAGCGGCAGAAGAAGUUGGCACUACGAAGCCAGGCCAAGGCUACAGCACUGGAGGCCAACGGGAACAACAAUCACAAUGGACAUGCCAUGGUCAGCAUUUUUAAGAACAAAGAUGAUCUGGACAGGGACGGGGAGAGCACUAUCUGAGAUACCGAAAAGAGGUUUCCAAACCAAUGGUUUCUGAUCCUGUUUUAUGCCAUGCCCAUGAUCCACCCAAAGUGUUUUGGGGUAUUUGGUGACCCACUUGUCAAAUUAACAAGUAGAUUUUUUUGCCACAACUCGGUACGGUCUUAAGCCAAGACCCAGUGCAUUGGUAGGAAUAGGUCGCUAUUUGGGUAACAAUGAUUUUGCUGCUAGACUUCUUCGACCGAAGCCCUGAUGCAUUUACCAUCCUCUUAAUGUUAAAAUGUGAUCCCAAUGAAGUAUUUCUCCAUAUGAGUUCAUUGAAAGUAGUUUACCAACCACAACCACUAUUACGUGUUUCUAUCACCCCCUUUCCUAUCUGAAGGACCCUUGUACAUACUAUAAACCAAAAACCUCUUACAACUGCUUUCAAAACUCGACUUCUGUCCUAUUUCAAUUGCUCUCUUGUUACAUACACUGCCAUGCAAAAGUAUUCACACCCCUUGUAUUUGUUCACAUUUUAUUGUGUUACAAAGAGGGAUUAAAAUGUAUUUAAUUGUAAUUCUUUUGUCAACA